rnacentral:rRNA from 1 species
CGAACGGGUGAGUAACACGUGAGCAAUCUGCCCUUCACUUUGGGAUAACCCCGGAAACGGGAGCUAAUACCGAAUAUGACCUCGCCAUGCAUGUGGUGGGGUGGAAAGUUCUGGCGGUGGAGGAUGAGCUCGCGGCCUAUCAGCUUGUUGGUGGGGUAACGGCCUACCAAGGCGACGACGGGUAGCCGGCCUGAGAGGGCGACCGGCCACACUGGGACUGAGACACGGCCCAG